rnacentral:rRNA from 1 species
UACGAAGGGGGCUAGCGUUGCUCGGAAUUACUGGGCGUAAAGGGCGCGUAGGCGGAUAUCUAAGUUGGGGGUGAAAGCCCGGGGCUCAACCUCGGAAUUGCCUUCAAUACUGGAUAUCUUGAGUACGGGAGAGGUGAGUGGAACUCCGAGUGUAGAGGUGAAAUUCGUAGAUAUUCGGAAGAACACCAGUGGCGAAGGCGACUCACUGGCCCGUUACUGACGCUGAGGCGCGAAAGCGUGGGGAGCAAACAGGG